rnacentral:sRNA from 1 species
AGCGGCACGGAUGCCGCUGGUUUAAACAGUAGCGAUAUUUCGGCAAAGCCGAAAUUCGCCAUCAAAAGUGUACAAGGAUGUACACUUUUGAUGAUGU